rnacentral:tRNA from 1 species
AUAAUAAAGUAAGCUAAUUUAAGCUGUUGGGUUCAUACCCCGAAAAUAAAUAAUUUGAUGUAUUUCUUUAUU